rnacentral:rRNA from 1 species
CACGUAGGGUGCAAACGUUGCUCGGAAUCACUGGGCGUAAAGCGCACGUAGGCGGCCUUGUAAGUUGGAUGUGAAAGCCCUGGGCUCAACCGAGGAAGUGUAUCCAAAACUGCAUGGCUUGAGUACCGGAGGGGUUCAGAGAAUUCCCGGUGUAGAGGUGAAAUUCGUAGAUAUCGGGAGGAAUACCAGUGGCGAAGGCGCUGAACUGGACGGUAACUGACGCUGAGGUGCGAAAGCGUGGGUAGCAAACAGG